rnacentral:rRNA from 1 species
UACGGGGGGGGCAAGCGUUGUUCGGAAUUACUGGGCGUAAAGGGCUCGUAGGCGGCCAACUAAGUCAUACGUGAAAUCCCUCGGCUUAACCGGGGAACUGCGUCUGAUACUGGAUGGCUUGAGUUCGGGAGAGGGAUGCGGAAUUCCAGGUGUAGCGGUGAAAUGCGUAGAUAUCGGGAGGAACACCAGUGGCGAAGGCGGCUUCCUGGCCUGUUCUUGACGCUGAGGCGCGAAAGCUAGGGUAGCAAACGGG